GAUGAACGCUGGCGGCGUGCCUAAUACAUGCAAGUCGAGCGAACGGACGAGAAGCUUGCUUUUCUGAUGUUAGCGGCGGACGGGUGAGUAACACGUGGAUAACCUACCUAUAAGACUGGGAUAACUUCGGGAAACCGGAGCUAAUACCGGAUAAUAUUUUGAACCGCAUGGUUCAAAAGUGAAAGACGGUCUUGCUGUCACUUAUAGAUGGAUCCGCGCUGCAUUAGCUAGUUGGUAAGGUAACGGCUUACCAAGGCAACGAUGCAUAGCCGACCUGAGAGGGUGGUCGGCCACACUGGAACUGAGACACGGUCCAGACUCCUACGGGAGGCAGCAGUAGGGAAUCUUCCGCAAUGGGCGAAAGCCUGACGGAGCAACGCCGCGUGAGUGAUGAAGGUCUUCGGAUCGUAAAACUCUGUUAUUGGGGAAGAACAUAUGUGUAAGUAGCUGUGCACAUCUUGACGGUACCUAAUCAGAAAGCCACGGCUAACUACGUG
rnacentral:rRNA from 1 species